UACGGGGGGGGCAAGCGUUGUUCGGAAUUACUGGGCGUAAAGGGCGCGUAGGCGGCCUGCUAAGUCGAACGUGAAAUCCCCCGGGCUCAACCCGGGAACUGCGUCCGAGACUGGCGGGCUUGAAUCCGGGAGAGGGAUGCGGAAUUCCAGGCGUAGCGGUGAAAUGCGUAGAUAUCUGGAGGAACACCGGUGGCGAAGGCGGCAUCCUGGACCGGCAUUGACGCUGAGGCGCGAAAGCCAGGGGAGCAAACGGG
rnacentral:rRNA from 1 species